rnacentral:rRNA from 1 species
CAGCCGCCGCGGGAAUACAGAGGGUGCGAGCGUUAAUCGGAUUUACUGGGCGUAAAGCGUGCGUAGGCGGCUUUUUAAGUCGGAUGUGAAAUCCCUGAGCUUAACUUAGGAAUUGCAUUCGAUACUGGGAAGCUAGAGUAUGGGAGAGGAUGGUAGAAUUCCAGGUGUAGCGGUGAAAUGCGUAGAGAUCUGGAGGAAUACCGAUGGCGAAGGCAGCCAUCUGGCCUAAUACUGACGCUGAGGUACGAAAGCAUGGGGAGCAAACAGGAUUAGAUACCCCCGUAGUCCUGUCCUUAUACAC